rnacentral:rRNA from 1 species
GCUUACGGCCACACCGCCUGGUUCACGCCUUGUUCAUUGAUCUCGGAAGCUAAGAUAGGUUGGGCCAGGUUAGUACUUGGAUGGGAGACCGCCUGGGAAUACCAGGUGCUGUAAGCU